GGGCCCCCUGUCUCCUGACCACACCCACUAAUACAUGGCCAGGGGGCCCCUGUGACUGAGGAUUGAUUAUGGGGAGGGGCCCCCUGUCUCCUGACCACACCCACUAAUACAUGGCCAGGGGGCCCCUGUGACUGAGGAUUGAUUAUGGGGAGGGGCCCCCUGUCUCCUGACCACACUCACUAUACAUGGCCAGGGCCCCUGUGACUGAGGAUUGAUUAUGGGGAGGGGCCCCCUGUCUCCUGACCACACCCACUAUACAUGGCCGGCGGCCCCUGUGACUGAGGAGGGGCCCCUUGUCUCCUGACCACACCCACUAUACAUGGCCGGGGGCCCCUGUGACUGAGGAUUGAUCAUGGGGAGGGGCUCCCUGUCUCCCGACCACACCCACUAAACAUUGCCGGGGGGCACCUGUGACUGAGGAUUGAUUAUGGGGAGGGGCCACCUGUCUCCUCACCACACCCACUAUACAUGGCCGGGGGGCCCCUGUGACUGAGGAUUGAUCACAGGGAGGGGCCCCCUGUCUCCUGACCACACCCACUAUACAUGGCCCCUGUGACUGAGGAUUGAUUAUGGGGAGGGGCCCCCUGUCUCCUGACCACACCCACUAUACAUGGCCAGGGGGCCCCUGUGACUGAGGAUUGAUUAUGGGGAGGGGCCCCCUGUCUCCUGACCACACCCACUAUACAUGGCCCCUGUGACUGAGGAUUGAUCACGGGGAGGGGCCCCCUGUCUCCUGACCACACUCACUAUACAUGGCCAGGGCCCCUGUGACUGAGGAUUGAUUAUGGGGUGGGGUCUCCUGACCACACCCACUAUACAUGGCCGGGGGCCCCUGUGACUGAGGAUUGAUCACGGGGAGGGGCCCCCUGUCUCCUGACCACACCCACUAUACAUGGCCAGGGGGCCCCUGUGACUGAGGAUUGAUUAUGGGGAGGGGCCCCCUGACCACACCCACUAUACAUGGCCAGGGCCCCUGUGACUGCCCCUUCCUCAGGACUGAACAUGCACUGCAAGGGUUGUCAAAGUGAGGGAGGGGCUGAAGAGGCAGGCUGUGGGUGGUCCCUCAGUGUGUGGAGGAGGGGCAUGCGACCGCAGUCCGGAGCACCUUGGAGAGGAGGUGGGUCAGGGAGGGGAGUAUUAUUCCUGCCCCCCAAAACUGAACAAGGUGGGGGUGUCGGUCGGGGGUUGGGCUUUAAUUGAACUUCCCCGUGAUUCGGAAACCAAUAAAAUUCAGAAAAUAAAAA